rnacentral:rRNA from 1 species
UACGUAGGGUGCGAGCGUUAAUCGGAAUUACUGGGCGUAAAGCGUGCGCAGGCGGUUUUGUAAGCCAGAUGUGAAAUCCCCGGGCUUAACCUGGGAAUGGCAUUUGGGACUGCAAGGCUUGAGUGCGGCAGAGGAGACUGGAAUUCCUGGUGUAGCAGUGAAAUGCGUAGAGAUCGGGAGGAACACCAGUGGCGAAGGCGGCUACCUGGACCAGCAUUGACACUCAGGCACGAAAGCGUGGGGAGCAAACAGG